rnacentral:rRNA from 1 species
UACGUAGGGGGCAAGCGUUGUCCGGAUUUAUUGGGCGUAAAGCGCUCGCAGGUGGUUCGUCGCGUCGUGCGUGAAAGACCCCGGCUCAACUGGGGAGUGUCGUGCGAUACGGGCGGACUGGAGGCCAGUAGGGGGAUGCGGAAUUCCGGGUGUAGUGGUGGAAUGCGUAGAGAUCCGGAGGAACACCAGCGGCGAAGGCGGCAUCCUGGACUGGUCCUGACACUCAGGAGCGAAAGCGUGGGGAGCGAACAGG